GAUGAACGCUGGCGGCGUGCCUAAUACAUGCAAGUCGAGCGAACAGAUAAGGAGCUUGCUCCUUUGACGUUAGCGGCGGACGGGUGAGUAACACGUGGAUAACCUACCUAUAAGACUGGGAUAACUUCGGGAAACCGGAGCUAAUACCGGAUAACAUAUUGAACCGCAUGGUUCAAUAGUGAAAGGCGGCUUUGCUGUCACUUAUAGAUGGAUCCGCGCCGUAUUAGCUAGUUGGUAAGGUAACGGCUUACCAAGGCAACGAUACGUAGCCGACCUGAGAGGGUGAUCGGCCACACUGGAGCUGAGACACGGUCCAGACUCCUACGGGAGGCAGCAGUAGGGAAUCUUCCGCAAUGGGCGAAAGCCUGACGGAGCAACGCCGCGUGAGUGAUGAAGGUCUUCGGAUCGUAAAACUCUGUUAUCAGGGAAGAACAAAUGUGUAAGUAACGGUGCACAUCUGGACGGUACCGGAUCAGAAAGCCACGGCUAACUACGU
rnacentral:rRNA from 1 species